UUCAUCAAAAAACAUGCUAUAGGUAAAAAGCUCUGAAGGACCAGCUAUGUAUAUGAUAAUUAUGUUUCAGACCUUCUAGAGUAUUAUAUAUAAUAACUUGUCUUCUGGACGUGGUCUUGAAGUCUUUAUGGAUUCAGCCUCAGUAGUAGCGAACUGCACUGCUACUUGGUUUGGAGUACAAAUUAGACUUUAGCCCUCCUGGAAGUUGAGUUUCUGGUAUUGAAAACCAUAGGAAUGAAAUUAUUGUAUUUCAACAAAGGAUCGAGGGCUUGAGGCUUAAACAAGGCAACAUAUGUGUGGGAAGCAGUCAGCCUUGAGAGCAGGCUACGGACAUGCCAGGCAUGCGGCCGCUGCUCGAAGGGACUGUCCCUACUUGUUCCCCUCCUUGUUCCAUUCCAUGGGAGAUAAAUCACCAGGGCCCAGAAAUCAGAAAGAAUGUAAAAUGAGACAAGCAAAGCUGUCUCCCCCCUGCACAUCCAGGUUAUUUUUGAUGAUUCUGGGUUUAUGGGUUUCCUCCCAGGGAAGUUAACCUUGAGCCGAGACAGUCUGUAGAUAAUGUAAACCACCAUCUGGCAACCUUCCUUUUUCUAGUCUAUAUAAUCUGCCACUGUAGCAUAAUAAAAUUUGCCUUGCAACCAUCAGUUGUCUUGGUCCUUCUGACCCCAUUCAUCGGUGCUACUUCAGUUCCUUACCCCUUCCCUUCUGACCCUGGGCGGUGAAAUCCUCUUUCUCCGGCUGGUCCGCGGCAAGUGGCACUCGAACAGGAAGCGUGAAGGCAAUUAAAAGAAAAAGAAAGUGCAGGUAAGAGAACCCUUAUGCAAAGUAUGUGUGGCCACCAGUAAAAGUGAAACUAAUAGAGGCAUAAGGCAAUAGUCAGAAGUAAAAUAAGAUGGGGCAAAAGGCUCAAAGGAGUGUGAAUUAUUUGCUCAGGUUUUACUUUCCAUGCUUAAAGCUCGGGGUAAUAAAGUUUCUACCUUCACAGUUGACUGAAUUUUUACAGCAUAUCCAUGGUGUAUCUCCCUGGUUUCCUGAUGGCGGCUCUGUUGACAUAGAAAUCUGGCAGAAAGUUGGAGAAGAUUUAAAAAAUUAUUAUGAGGCUCGAGGGCCUACUCAUACUCCUGUUGUUACAUAUAGUUUGUGGAAUCUGAUAAAAAUAUGUUUAGAUUCUUCUCAUGAUAGUGUUGAUUUGAAUGUAAAGUCAGAAAGACAUAAGCCUCUGGCAGAAGGAGAGACUGUAGUAUCAGCUACCGUGUCGCCACUUCCUAAACUGAAAGAGCUAAUUAAUUUAAAUAUUUUAGAUGAAGAGGAACAUUUUGACUUAACAGAUGAGGCUUUUAAACAUAAAAGAGAGAACUAUCCUGAGGAUGGUUUUCUAAUGGCUGUGAUAGAUAAGUCAGUGAAAAAGCUGCAGGUUAAUAAGGACUGUCUUCCUCAAAAAUCUACAUCUGUAAAAAUGCUCAGUCCCUUGCAGCGCGCUGUACAAGGAGCAAUAAAACGAGGAGAAGAUCCUAUUUUCUGUUGUCCCGUCAUAGAAAGACCUGGUCCUAAUAAUCCUCAACAAGCUACUAGGGAGCAUCAGGCUCUCCCUUUGAAAGUUUUGAAAGAUUGAAAAUCUGCCUGUUCUCAAUAUGGGCCCACUGCUCCUUUUACUGCUGCUGUGGUUGACAGGAGAAGCUCUUCCCCCCGCUGAUUGGAAGUCUAUUGCACGAGCUUGUUUAAAUGGUGGAGAUUAUUUAAUAUGGAAGUUUGAUUUUUAUGAACGGGCUGCUGAACAAGCAGAAAAGAAUGCUGCCCAUAAUAUUGCAGUUGAUUAUCAUAUACUGAUUGGGAAGGACAAUAUAUUUCUUUACAAGAUCAAUUAACUUAUCCCUUUGUUGCUUAUCCUCAAAUAAAUCAUUUGGCAUUACAAGCCUGGAGGAAAUGACCUUCUACACACAAAACUGAGGAUCUUUCAACAAUUAGACAGGGACCUGAUGAACCAUAUGCUGAUCUUGUAGAUAGGUUGUCACAGGCGGUGGGGAGACUCAUUGUGGACGGACUCACUGGUACAAUUGUAGUUAAGCAGCUUGCUUUUGAGAAUGCUAAUAAUGCGUCUCAGGCUGCGAUUCGACCUUGGAGAAAACAGGGAACAUUGGAGGAUUAUAUUCGCCUUUGUGCAGACAUUGGGCCUGCUUAUAUACAGGGUGCUGCUAUGGCUGCAGCAUUAACUAAAGUGGGGUUUAAAAACAAUCAAAAGAAAACAAAGACUUGUUUUAAAUGCGGAAAGGCAGGUCAUUUUGCUAGAGAAUGUAGAUCUUUUAAUUCUAACCCUAGUCCUUCCUUCCCUACUCAAAAACCUCCAGAUGGUCAGAAAAUCCCUGGUUUAUGCCCUAAAUGCAAUAGGGGAAAACACUGGGCACAAGAUAGUUGCUCAGUGGCCCACAACGAUGGGACACCACUGUCAGGAAACUCCUCCCGGGGCCUUCCCCGGCCCCAACAAAUAAUAAGGGCAGUGUCUGUGUAUCCUCCUCAAAUUAUCAAUCAGACGUUAACCAAAAACAAAAACAUACAAUAUCCUUGCUCUCCAGAGCAACACCAGGAAGCGCAGGACUGGAGCUCAGUACCUCCGCCCGCUAUGUAUUAACUCCUGAAAUGGGUCCUCAGGCCCUCUCUAUGGGCAUCUAUGGACCUUUACCCAAGGGUUUGAUGGGACUAUUAUUGGGAAGAAGUAGUGUCACCAUGAAAGGUUUAACUAUUAUACCAGGUCAUAGAUUCUGACUAUGAAGGAGAAAUAAAAGUCAUGGCACAAACUAUUAAAAACAUAAUAACUAUUUCUUCUGGUGAUAAAAUUGCACAAUUGCUACUUUUGCCCUUUGUACCUCAUGGACAAAUUUUACAACAUCAAAAGAGAGAAACAAAGGCUUUGGAUCAUCUAAUGCUGCCUACUGGAUUCAGAAGAUAGGGAAAGAACGUCCAGAAAUGAAAUGAACCAUUAAUGGAAAGGUUUUUUCAGGUUUGUUAGACACUGGAGCUGAUGUCUCUGUUAUGACGCAGGUACACUGGCCUAAACAUUGGCCCAUUAGUCCUACUAUUACAGAACUUCAAGGAAUAGGACAAAGUUCUUCUCCUAUGCAAAGCAGUCAGUUAUUAUUAUGGCAAGAUAGUGAGGGCCUUUCAGGAUACUUCCAGCCUUAUGUUUUGCCUGGGCUGCCUUUAAACCUCUGGGGCCGAGAUAUAUUAAAAGAAAUGGGAGUAUUACUUUAUAGUCCAAAUUCCCAAGUCUCUAAUAUGUUGUUGGAUCAAGGAUUUCUUCCCACAAAAGGGCUGGGAACAAAUCAACAAGGAACUGUCUAUCCUAUUGAUGUGAAAAUAAAAAAUGAUAGACAAGGUUUGGGUUUUUCUUAGGGGCCUUGGAUUCUCCUCCACUCACUGCUGAUCCAAUUACUUGGCUGACUGAUGACCCUGUAUGGGUGGACCAAUGGCUCCUCACAAAGGAGAAAUUAGAAGCUGCAGAACAAUUAGUACUGGAACAAUUAGGGCAUUUAGAAAUUUCCUGUAGUCCUUGAAAUACUCCUAUUUUUAUUAUCAAGAAAAAAUCUGGAAAGUAUAGGUUAUUACAGGAUCUAAGAGCUGUUAAUAAAACUAUGCUAACAAUGGGAGCUCUUCAACCAGGCCUACCCUCUCCAACAGCCAUACCACACAAUUAUCACCUUUUAGUUAUAGAUUUAAAAGAUUGUUUUUUCACUAUUCCUUUGUUUCCUGAAGAUAGAAAACAUUUUGCUUUUAGCUUGCCUUCCUUAAAUUUUAAGGAACCCAUGAGGAGAUUUCAAUGGAAAGUAUUGCCUCAGGGCAUGGCAAAUAGUCCUACAUUAUGCCAAAAAUAUGUGGCUCAGGCCUUGACUCCUGUGAGAAAAAGGUUUCCAUCGUUAUAUCUCAUACAUUAUAUGGAUGAUAUACUUUUAGCCACUGAUAAUAUUUCUUUAUUAGAGACUGCUUUUCAAUUCUUACAACAGUCCUUACAAUCAUUUGGCUUGGUCAUUGCCUCAAAAAAAAUUCAAAGACAAUCUCCAUUUUUAUAUUUGGAGAAAUAUAUUGAUAACACUACUAUUAGGCCUCAAAACCUGCAAAUUCGAGUUGAUAAUUUAAAAACAUUAAAUGAUUUUCAAAAAUUACUUGGAGAUAUUAAUUGGCUAAGGCCUUCCUUAAAACUUACUACUGCUCAAUUACAGCCUUUGUUUGAUAUUCUUAAAGGUGACUCAGAUCCUUCUUCUUCACGCUCUAUGACUCCAGAAGGGUUUCAAGCUUUACAAAUAGUCAAUAGAUCAGUUCUACACAAUUAACUAGAAUUCAUACUCACCUUCCAAUUUUCUUAAUAAUUUGUCCAACUCCUCAUGUGCCUACUGCCGUCUUAUGGCAAACUGUUGGAAUUAUUGAAUAGAUUCAUAUGAAAACUACACCCUCUAAAGUUAUUAACCCUUAUUAUGAACUUAUUAGUAAUUUAAUAAUGCAAGGUAGAACUAGAUGCUUACAACCUAUAAGUAUAGAACCUUCUCAAAUUAUUAUCCCUUAUUCAGUUAGUCAACAAAAUUGGCUUUUUCAACAUAGUAAUGAAUGGGGUCUUGCUCUUGCAGGAUUUUCAGGUACCUUGGAAUGCCAUUACCCUGCUGAUAAAUUGAUCCAAUUCAGCAAACUUAACUCAUAUCUUUCCUUCUAUAAUUAGGCAACAGCCUGUUCCUCAUGUACCUUUGGUUUUUACAGACGGUUCUUCUUCAAGAGUGGCUACUGUAAUCUUUGAUGACGGAACAAAACUCAUUAAAGAAACUUGCUUGACUUCAGCUUAACGUGUUGAACUGUUUGCUGUCAUUAUGGCUUUUAAACAUUUGCCUUCUAUAUCUUUUAAUUUGUUUUCUGAUAGUAAAUAUCUUAUUAGCUUAUUAUUUCUUCUGGAGACUGCGACCAUAGGACAUACUAAUGACCCUGAAUUAUCAUCCUCUUUUCGUUUGCUUCAACAGCUUAUUCGUUCCCACGAUGGUUCUGUUGCAGGUCUGUAUAUCCGUGCUCAUUCUAACUUGCCUGGUCCAUUGGCUAAACUUAAUGCGACUGCAGAUGUUUUAACUCGAUCUAAAUGUGAUCUUUAUCCUGUACAUUUUCCUCCCAAGAAUAGAGUUGAAGUUACUCCUCCUUCUCAAUCUCUUUUCCCUAAAGCAGGACGUGUCCCAAUUUACCGUACUCCUCCUUUCCGUUUGUCAUGCUGUCAAGAAUGGCUAAUGUACUGCAUUCAUUAUCUUCAUACUGUUGAUACUCAUGGUCCAUGUCCUGGACACCCUCAUAUUAUGGGGAAAGGUUGGUGGCUGAGCCAAGAUUGGCUUCUCAAUCUCCGGAGAUCCUCUGGAAAGAUCCGUUAACCAGCACUUGGCGUGGUCCUGAUCCUGUGUUGAUUUGGGGACGUGGUCACGUGUGUAUCUUUCCCAGAUCAGCGCCUGGACCUCGCUGGCUUCCUGAGCACUUAGUCAAGCAAAUAGAUGACUCACCACAGCUCACAACUAGUUCAGAAGAUGAAGAAGCUCUGCAUCUCUCCCGAAAAUUUGACAGUGUUGAUUCAGAAAGAGAAGAAGAAGAGGAGACCACUUGCCAGGACGACUCAAAGGAGUGAUGUUCCAACUUGGGGACAAAUUAAACAAUUGGUUUCACUAGCUCAAGAGUUAGUGAAACAACAGAAUAAUCCUGUUACACCUGUAACUUUAUUUUUGGCUAUGUUGGCAACCAUUUCAUGUGUUCCCUCUGUUAAUGCAGCAACUUACUGGGCCUAUGUACCUGAUCCUCCACCAUUACAACCCAUAUCUUGGUCUGAAGCAGAGUUUCCUGUAUUUUACAAUGAUAACUGUUUAUGGGCCUCUUAUUGGGAAUAUAAAACAAAUCAAUAUGUCUGUAAAUUAUACUAACUGGUUUAGUACCCAACCUGUCUGUCUUAGCCCAUUGAAUCUGGAAACUGGAUGUGUAAAGGCUAUUAGUUAUGAGCAUACAGAUGUUUAUGAGGGAACGGAUCAAUCAAUUAGUUUGUCAGGCUCUCCAGGCAUCCUUCGUUUUACAGGAACCAACAUUACUCUUAUAUGCCCGGCUACCAGCUGACGAGAGGAUCUUAAGGAUACCGUCAUUUGGUAUGAAAUGGGCAACCUAUUAAUAUUAGAGGUCAAAUCUCAUACGCCUCACCACUUAGGGAUUCCGCUAUUACUAUAGCCAAGGUUACAGGUGAAGAUUCAGGAAAUUAUUUCUGUAUGAAGUGUUUACUUGGAGGACAAGGGAUACUUAUAGCUGGACAUAAGGUUACUAUUCUUAACAGAAAAUCAAAAAAUCAAUUUCCUCCUUUUAUGACCGUUAACUUUCCUGGAUCCACUUUUAACCAAAUAUGGUGUACUAUAGAUUAUACCAAGAGGUCAAUUCUUUUUUUUUUUUUUCUAAGAGGUCAAUUCUUAUCUCUUCUGUUCCCAUCAUAGAUAGGUUUAUCACAUUUCAAAAGAACUGGGAUAUAUGGAAACUAGCUCUAACUUAUUCCAAUACACCUGUUAUAACUUGUGCUGUUUGGUUCUAUUAACAUUGGUAAUUCUUCCAAAGGAGGAUAUAAUAUUAGCUGUGUUAAUUGUAUUUUUAGCAGUUGUAUGUUCCCUUCUGCAGGAAUGCAAUCUGUGCUUAUACUAAAGCAACCCAUAUAUGUUAUGGUGCCUGUACAUCUGAGAGAACCUUGGUAUGAAGAUACUGGAGUACAGGCAUGGGUGGAACUCUCUAAAGCCUUGCAGAGAAGGAGACGCUUUCUUGGGUGGCUAAUAGUAAGUUUACUUGCCUCGGCUGCUCUGUCUGCUACGUGGCUACUGCCGGUCUUGCUCUUUCACAGAGUAUUAAUCAUGCUCACUUUGCUAAUCGGUUAUCUCAACAUACCAGUCUUGCUUUAUCUUUACAAAGUCACAUAGAUUUACAGAUUAGUAACAAGUUAGAUGAAUUUAAAAACGCAAUUUUGGGGAUUGGAGAUCAGAUGGCAGCAUUAAAAUUGAGGAUGCGUUUAGCUUGUCAUGCAACGUAUACAUGGAUUUGUGUUACUCCUUAAAAGUACAAUGACUGUAUUUGGGAAUGGGAAAAAGUAAAAAUGCAUCUGCUGAGUGUUUGGUCAGAUACUAAUAUUAGCCUUGAUCUUAAGAAAUUAAAUGCUGAAAUUCAGGAUAUACAAAAUGCACAUCUUGAUUUUAUUUCACCAGAAGAUGUAAUUCAAACUUUACUGGAUCAUUUAAAGUGGUUAAACCCUCAGUCUUGGAUUACUGGAAGGUUGUCAGGAUUUAUUACCCUGGCCAUAAUUUGCCUAUUGUUGAUAAUAAUCUUCUCAUGUCUGUUUCAUAUCCUCAUGCAACAGUAUACUACUCUAGGCACUAAACUACAUGGAAUUAUUUUGCAGCAAAAGUUAAAAAAUAAAAAAGGGGGACCUGUGGGAAGCAGUCAGCCUUGAGAGCAGGCUACAGACAUGCCAGGCAUGUGGCCGCUGCUCGAAGAGACUGUCCCUACUUGUUCCCCUCCUUGUUCCAUUCCAUGGGAGAUAAAUCACCAGGGCCCAGAAAUCAGAAAGAAUGUAAAAUGAGACAAGCAAAGCUGUCUCCCCCCUGCACAUCCAGGUUAUUUUUGAUGAUUCUGGGUUUAUGGGUUUCCUCCCAGGGAGGUUAACCUUGAGCCGAGACAGUCUGUAGAUAAUGUAAACCACCAUCUGGCAACCUUCCUUUUUCUAGUCUAUAUAAUCUGCCACUGUAGCAUAAUAAAAUUUGCCUUGCAACCGUCAGUUGUCUUGGUCCUUCUGACCCCAUUCAUCGGUGCUACUUCAGUUCCUUACCCCUUCCCUUCUGACCCUGGGCGGUGAAAUCCUGUUUCUCCGGCUGGUCUGCGGCACACAUGAAUAUAUGUUUUUGUCUUGCUGUACUGCACAUAUGCUGUCUAGUAACAGAUAUAUUGUCUGCUAGUAGUGUUCUAGAUUAUGUCUUUCCAAAGCGCUGAGGCAGUGCACCUAUUCUGUAGUUGCAGCUGAUGCCUGAAUGUAUCCUAGCUGACAAAUUAUUGAUUAAUAAGAACUUGAAUUUCUGAAAGAUUUGUACUGUUAACCAAAAUCUGAGCAAGGAGUCUCAAAUGUAAUUCUUAGCCAGAAUUACAUGUUAAUGAACCAUUUAACAGUGUAAAUCAAGGAACAUCAGUGUAAGGAUUUCUUUUAAUUUAUUUUUUACCUGCUUGAAAUAUCAGUUAAAGUUUGCCAGCUUGGUUGCAGAUGAACGGACGUUUGAAGUUCACCAAACUACUUAAUGUGGAAUAGGAUAAUAGACUUCCAGCGCCCUCAAGGCUGUGACCUUGCAGCCAUUUUACAUAGCACAUCCUCCUCCUAUAGGGAUGAACCUUUCCCUGGCCCAAAAAGUAGCAGCUCUGUUGAAGCUUUGCUUAUUGUAACAGGCUUUUGUUUCCAGGUUACAUGUCUGUGGAAGACUUAAUUCUGAAUAGAGAUAUAGAUAUUACUGGAAACUAAUUGUUUUUUCUAUUAUACUCUGCUUUAUCAAAGAAGUAAAACAUUUAAAUUGUGCUACAGAAAUUAAAA